CCCUUAGAUGUUCUGGGCCGCACGCGUGCUACACUGAGUGGAUCAGCGGGUCAGGUUGCGCGAAAGCGUUUCCUAAUCUUUAAAUCCGCUCGUGAUGGGGAUUGACGGUUGCAAUUUUCUGUCAUGAACGAGGAAUACCUUGUAAGCGCGGGUCAUCAUCCCGCGCUGAAUACGUCCCUGCCCUUUGUACGCACCGCCCGUCGCUCCUACCGAUUGAAUGGUCCGGUGAAGCGCUCGGACCGCGGCCUCUUGACGGUUUUCCGUCGAUUGGCUGUGGGAAGUUCGUUAAACCUUAUCAUUUAGAGGAAGGAGAAGUCGUAACA
rnacentral:rRNA from 1 species